AUGAGAUAUUUUACAACAAACAUCGUUAUCCCUGGAAACACAAACUGUGCAAAAUACCCAUUUGUAACCAUCACAUAUCUGCCCUGCACACCUACACAGCCAUUUGUAGCAAAUGCCCAUACCGUGAUCUUGGAUUUGGUCAACAGUGCCUCAAAAUCAAACAUCCAGAAAUCACUUGGAUGUUGUCUCCUUCAUGAGGUUAACUCUUAG